rnacentral:rRNA from 1 species
GGUUAAGCGACUAAGCGUACACGGUGGAUGCCCUGGCAGUCAGAGGCGAUGAAGGACGUGCUAAUCUGCGAUAAGCGUCGGUGAGGUGAUAUGAACCGUUAUAACCGGCGAUUUCCGAAUGGGGAAACCCAGUGUGUUUCGACACACUAUCAUUAACUGAAUCCAUAGGUUAAUGAGGCGAACCGGGGGAACUGAAACAUCUAAGUACCCCGAGGAAAAGAAAUCAACCGAGAUUCCCCCAGUAGCGGCGAGCGAACGGGGAGGAGCCCAGAGCCUGAAUCAGUGUGUGUGUUAGUGGAAGCGUCUGGAAAGGCGCGCGAUACAGGGUGACAGCCCCGUACACAAAAAUGCACAUAUUGUGAGCUCGAUGAGUAGGGCGGGACACGUGGUAUCCUGUCUGAAUAUGGGGGGACCAUCCUCCAAGGCUAAAUACUCCUGACUGACCGAUAGUGAACCAGUACCGUGAGGGAAAGGCGAAAAGAACCCCGGCGAGGGGAGUGAAAAAGAACCUGAAACCGUGUACGUACAAGCAGUGGGAGCCUCUUAAUGGGGUGACUGCGUACCUUUUGUAUAAUGGGUCAGCGACUUAUAUUCUGUAGCAAGGUUAACCGAAUAGGGGAGCCGAAGGGAAACCGAGUCUUAACUGGGCGUUAAGUUGCAGGGUAUAGACCCGAAACCCGGUGAUCUAGCCAUGGGCAGGUUGAAGGUUGGGUAACACUAACUGGAGGACCGAACCGACUAAUGUUGAAAAAUUAGCGGAUGACUUGUGGCUGGGGGUGAAAGGCCAAUCAAACCGGGAGAUAGCUGGUUCUCCCCGAAAGCUAUUUAGGUAGCGCCUCGUGAAUUCAUCUCCGGGGGUAGAGCACUGUUUCGGCAAGGGGGUCAUCCCGACUUACCAACCCGAUGCAAACUGCGAAUACCGGAGAAUGUUAUCACGGGAGACACACGGCGGGUGCUAACGUCCGUCGUGAAGAGGGAAACAACCCAGACCGCCAGCUAAGGUCCCAAAGUCAUGGUUAAGUGGGAAACGAUGUGGGAAGGCCCAGACAGCCAGGAUGUUGGCUUAGAAGCAGCCAUCAUUUAAAGAAAGCGUAAUAGCUCACUGGUCGAGUCGGCCUGCGCGGAAGAUGUAACGGGGCUAAACCAUGCACCGAAGCUGCGGCAGCGACACUAUGUGUUGUUGGGUAGGGGAGCGUUCUGUAAGCCUGUGAAGGUGGCNNNNNNNNNNNNNNNNNNNNNNNNNNNNNNNNNNNNNNNNNNNNNNNNNNNNNNNNNNNNNNNNNNNNNNNNNNNNNNNNNNNNNNNNNNNNNNNNUUUGCUGGAGGUAUCAGAAGUGCGAAUGCUGACAUAAGUAACGAUAAAGCGGGUGAAAAGCCCGCUCGCCGGAAGACCAAGGGUUCCUGUCCAACGUUAAUCGGGGCAGGGUGAGUCGACCCCUAAGGCGAGGCCGAAAGGCGUAGUCGAUGGGAAACAGGUUAAUAUUCCUGUACUUGGUGUUACUGCGAAGGGGGGACGGAGAAGGCUAUGUUGGCCGGGCGACGGUUGUCCCGGUUUAAGCGUGUAGGCUGGUUUUCCAGGCAAAUCCGGAAAAUCAAGGCUGAGGCGUGAUGACGAGGCACUACGGUGCUGAAGCGACAAAUGCCCUGCUUCCAGGAAAAGCCUCUAAGCAUCAGGUAACAUCAAAUCGUACCCCAAACCGACACAGGUGGUCAGGUAGAGAAUACCAAGGCGCUUGAGAGAACUCGGGUGAAGGAACUAGGCAAAAUGGUGCCGUAACUUCGGGAGAAGGCACGCUGAUAUGUAGGUGAAGCGACUUGCUCGUGGAGCUGAAAUCAGUCGAAGAUACCAGCUGGCUGCAACUGUUUAUUAAAAACACAGCACUGUGCAAACACGAAAGUGGACGUAUACGGUGUGACGCCUGCCCGGUGCCGGAAGGUUAAUUGAUGGGGUUAGCGGUAACGCGAAGCUCUUGAUCGAAGCCCCGGUAAACGGCGGCCGUAACUAUAACGGUCCUAAGGUAGCGAAAUUCCUUGUCGGGUAAGUUCCGACCUGCACGAAUGGCGUAAUGAUGGCCAGGCUGUCUCCACCCGAGACUCAGUGAAAUUGAACUCGCUGUGAAGAUGCAGUGUACCCGCGGCAAGACGGAAAGACCCCGUGAACCUUUACUAUAGCUUGACACUGAACAUUGAGCCUUGAUGUGUAGGAUAGGUGGGAGGCUUUGAAGUGUGGACGCCAGUCUGCAUGGAGCCGACCUUGAAAUACCACCCUUUAAUGUUUGAUGUUCUAACGUGGGCCCCUUACCGGGGUUGCGGACAGUGUCUGGUGGGUAGUUUGACUGGGGCGGUCUCCUCCUAAAGAGUAACGGAGGAGCACGAAGGUUGGCUAAUCCUGGUCGGACAUCAGGAGGUUAGUGCAAUGGCAUAAGCCAGCUUGACUGCGAGCGUGACGGCGCGAGCAGGUGCGAAAGCAGGUCAUAGUGAUCCGGUGGUUCUGAAUGGAAGGGCCAUCGCUCAACGGAUAAAAGGUACUCCGGGGAUAACAGGCUGAUACCGCCCAAGAGUUCAUAUCGACGGCGGUGUUUGGCACCUCGAUGUCGGCUCAUCACAUCCUGGGGCUGAAGUAGGUCCCAAGGGUAUGGCUGUUCGCCAUUUAAAGUGGUACGCGAGCUGGGUUUAGAACGUCGUGAGACAGUUCGGUCCCUAUCUGCCGUGGGCGCUGGAGAACUGAGGGGGGCUGCUCCUAGUACGAGAGGACCGGAGUGGACGCAUCACUGGUGUUCGGGUUGUCAUGCCAAUGGCACUGCCCGGUAGCUAAAUGCGGAAGAGAUAAGUGCUGAAAGCAUCUAAGCACGAAACUUGCCCCGAGAUGAGUUCUCCCUGACUCCUUGAGAGUCCUGAAGGAACGUUGAAGACGACGACGUUGAUAGGCCGGGUGUGUAAGCGCAGCGAUGCGUUGAGCUAACCGGUACUAAUGAACCGUGAGGCUUAACCUU